rnacentral:rRNA from 1 species
AUUGAACGCUGGCGGCAUGCUUUACACAUGCAAGUCGAACGGUAACAGGCCUUCGGGUGCUGACGAGUGGCGAACGGGUGAGUAAUGCAUCGGAACGUACCCAGAGGUGGGGGAUAACGCAGCGAAAGCUGUGCUAAUACCGCAUGUGAUCUGAGGAUGAAAGCGGGGGACCGCGCAGCAAUGUUUGGCCUCGCGCCUUUGGAGCGGCCGAUGUCGGAUUAGCUAGUUGGUGGGGUAAAGGCCUACCAAGGCGACGAUCCGUAGCUGGUCUGAGAGGACGACCAGCCACACUGGGACUGAGACACGGCCCAGAGUCCGACGGGAGGCAGCAGUGGGGAAUUUUGGACAAUGAGCGCAAGCCUGAUACAGCAAUGCCGCGUGCGGGAAGAAGGCCUUCGGGUUGUAAACCGCUUUUGGCAGGAACGAAACGGUGUCCGCUAAUACCGGGCGCUAAUGACGGUACCUGCAGAAUAAGCACCGGCUAACUACGUG